CCCUUAGAUGUCCGGGGCUGCACGCGCGCUACACUGAAGGAAUCAGCGUGCUAAAACCAUUGUCGAAAGGCAUUGGUAAACCCAUUAAAAUCCUACGUGAUUGGGAUCGGGAAUUGCAAUUAUUUCCCUUGAACGAGGAAUUCCCAGUAAGUGUGGGUCAUAAGCUCGCGUUGAUUACGUCCCUGCCCUUUGUACACACCGCCCGUCGCUGCCCGGGACUGAGCCGUUUCGAGAAAAGCGGGGACUGCUGCUGUCGGGGCUUUCGGGCCUUGGCCUCGGUGGAAACCGCUUUAAUCGCAGUGGCUUGAACCGGGCAAAAGUCGUAACA
rnacentral:rRNA from 1 species